rnacentral:rRNA from 1 species
CAUGAAGCUGGAAUCGCUAGUAAUCGCGGAUCAGAAUGCCGCGGUGAAUACGUUCCCGGGUCUUGUACACACCGCCCGUCACACCAUGGGAGCCGGAAAUGCCCGAAGUCAGUGACCCAACCGCAAGGAGGGAGCUGCCGAAGGUGGAGCUGGUAACUGGGGUGAAGUCGUAACAAGGUAUC